rnacentral:rRNA from 1 species
UGCCAGCCGCCGCGGUAAUACGAAGGGACCUAGCGUAGUUCGGAAUUACUGGGCUUAAAGAGUGCGUAGGUGGUUUAUUAAGUCAGAUGUGAAAGCCCCGGGCUUAACCUGGGAACUGCAUUUGAAACUGGUAAACUAGAGUAUGGUAGAGGAAAGUGGAAUUUCUGGUGUAGCGGUGAAAUGCGUAGAUAUCAGAAGGAACAUCAAUGGCGAAGGCAGCUUUCUGGACCAAUACUGACACUGAGGUACGAAAGCGUGGGUAGCAAACAGGAUUAGAUA